rnacentral:rRNA from 1 species
UACGGAGGGUGCAAGCGUUAAUCGGAAUUACUGGGCGUAAAGCGCACGCAGGUGGCUGAGCGAGUCGAUUGUGAAAGCCCUGGGCUUAACCUGGGAAUUGCAGUCGAUACUACUCAGCUAGAGUAUGGGAGAGGGUAGUGGAAUUCCCGGUGUAGCGGUGAAAUGCGUAGAUAUCGGGAGGAACAUCAGUGGCGAAGGCGGUUGCCUGGAGCUUUGCUGACGCCGAGGCGCGAAAGCGUGGGGAGCGAUCCGG